rnacentral:lncRNA from 1 species
CCAUGCUUAAGGUUAGAAAAGAACAAAUACACUUUUGGUUCUGUUGGUGUUUUCCACCAACAGGGCCCAUGCACUUGAUCUCUGCCUUGUCUCUAUGAGCAGGUACACUACGAGCACAUACACACUGAGCAAGAUACUGCCAACAUCGCACUUCGAAUUGCUGGGCAAACGAAGAACAUGGGUGACACUGUAUCAAGAGGUGCAGACGUCAAGGUCCACACCUAAAUCAAAUGAUGCACCUAAAGAAUGAACAUGGUGAGAAGUCUUGUUCAGAAGACUUAAAACAUUGAACCAUCGCCGAAAGGUAAAAUCGGUAGUUAUCCAUAUUUAUCCAUUCUGCAUUCCUUUUCCCUUUAAUUACUUACUUUCCUUAAAUAGCUUAUUAGUUAAUCAUGCUAUCUUGAAAAGAAAAUAAAAAUGUUAAAAAUACUAAGCCCCAUGUGAGUAUGCUCGUGGCAUGAAACCCAUAAGUACAUUCACUGUGGUGGCGUAAAAAUAAAAUAAAUAUAUUCUUGUCCUACGAAAAUGAAAAUAUAAAAAUAAAUUUAUGAUCUUACCAAAGAGAGUAAUAUUUAUUAGAGGAAGCUCAACAUGAUAAAGGCGAAGAGAUUUUGUGCUAACACUUAACCAGUUCCACAAAGCUUUGUUGUCUAUUUGAGCUCCACAUAAUUCAAGGAUCAAAGAAGUCUAGCAGACAGAGGACAUCCUAAUCGCUGUCAUGGUGCUGCCGACAUUCAAAUACACCUCCACCACCUGCUAGCUACAUCAGAAGAAAUUACGUCACAAUCCAGCUUGGAGGAGACCACCCCCAUUUGUCCAGCUAAGUGUUUCUACUCGCGUUUAUACUUUACUCAAAUAAUAAAAAGAUGCAUAAUCAUAAAAACCCAAAUAAAGAUUUUAUGCUUAUAUAUAUAUAUCUUUGCUUAGUUUGCUAAAUAAAUAAAUAAAUAAAGUUUGCUAUGAACCCUCAUGAUAAGCUCUCACAUGAAAAUGACGAUAGUUGCUCUGCCUAGUUCCCAAAAUUGAAAUCUCUCUCAAGUUUAGGCAUGACUGUUAUGAAUUAAGAUUUGCUCUAAACCUGAACUUGUGGGAAGAGUACUUGAUCUAAAUUCUAAGUUGUUAACGGAUACGAUAUGGGAAGGUUGAGCUGCUAUUUAUCUGUUCCUAGAGAUGCUAGAAUUCUGGAGAAUUUUAUCUUUGAAAAUCUUUAAAAAUAUUGCAUGAUGAGUUCCUGUAUGACGAGAGUUUAAAAUCCUACCACAGCUAUAUAUACAAGCUUGCUAGACUAGGAACCAUACAUUUAGUUUUUACUGCUUAUGAGCAUUGAGUGUGGUCAAGCUGUGUAGACCCUUAGGAGCUUGUCAUGCGGUGAAAAUCAAGAUUCACUUGCACGUUCACUCAUACAUGCUGCUUCUACUCCGGAAGUACGCAUCCACAUACAUCCACUCCUUUCCAUCUCCAGAUUCACCUAAAAUUAUUGCACUCCUAUCCAGGAGAGAAUAGCCAAAAAUAUUAUCCUAUCCCUGUUAUUCCCCGUGAAAUAAAUGCUCGAGAUAUUUUGGUUACUACCACUUGCUACAUUAUUCUAGGAGGGUGAGUGCUCUGAAAAAAAGUGAAUACGAGGAAAUAAAAAGGGGCAAGUGCCCGGAACCUCGAAAGAAAAGAAAAUGUGAGACGUGAGGUAAAAAUGGACAAGUGUCUGACAGUAGAAUUAGGGGUACAAGAUACCCACCUAAGAGAAAAGAAAAUAAAGAAAAGAGAAGAAAAAAAUAUAGAGCAUCUCAUUCCCCUAAAAAGAGCAAAAGUAGAAUUAGACAUUCACCAAUGUUUUCACCAUCAUCACCAUACACCAUUCAUUCGCCACACAUGCACAUCUUAGUAUGACUUAUUGACUUGUUUCUCUGGAUCUAUGGUUUGACUAUGCAAUAAAUGUCUUGUAAGUAUGUAUUAGCUGUCUCCCGCCUAUGAGCUCCAGAUAUCAAACCUUAUUAGAGUAGGGUGAGAGAGAAGGCAAUAUCACUAUGCCUCAUACCACAAAUACUACAUACUUUGAGAGAAGGCGUAUAUUAUCACUGCCUUUGUAAGGAUCCAGAAAUACCACAAAAGAGAGACUAGAGAGAGUCAUACAAGGAAUCUCUGAGUUUUAUUUGAAAAUCUGCAAAAACUCCAGAGCUAUAGUUGAUCAAAGAACAAGAGACAUAGUGCUUGACUUGACUGUUCUAUCUUUUAACUGCUCAAGACACAAGUGACGGUUGCAAGCCCCAUGGUGGAAGGUAAUAUGAGUAAGUUUAAAUCUUAACAGUUUACCCUAAUCUAGAGAUGAGAUCUUGUUUAAAUGCAUGUGUACCUUUAAGGCAUAAAACCACUACAGAAACUCUUGAGUCCAUCCUUGCUCAGGGACGAGCAAGAGGUAAGCUUGGGGGAGUUGUUGACGGUCCUUAAGUACCAAAUAUAAUCAUCAAAUAAACAAAGAAAAGGAUCCAAAUACAACCAACAUCUAAACUUAGGGUUUUAUCUAACAGAAUUCCACGAGUUUUUGUGUUUGUCUAUUUCUGGAGGGGGUUAUCAGGAAAUAAGGAAGAAAGGCCCACAUGUCGGGUUUACAUAGAGAUAUUAACGUGCUGUGCAAUUUUCUAUCAUCUAGAAGACUCCAGAAGCCACGGGAACGAACGGGAGGCCGAACGGGCCCGGGGGCAGGGUGCCCGCCCUCCCCCCUUGGGCGCCCGCCCUAGAGUUUCAACCAAUCACGCUCAAUCUCGCAGAUUAUGCUCCACCGACCUAAAGGAUCAAGAAUAACCAUUCAAUGAAUGUCGGUUUGAUCCGACGGCCCAGGUUCACUUGAGAGGACUAUAUAAGCAGACCCCAUGGCCCCUAGAGGAGGCACCCCCUUGAUCAUUAUUCAUUAUUCAUAGAUAGAGCAAAAGCUAGGGUUUAGAGAUGAGAGCUCUCCUCUCUUCUCUAAACUUGUCGGUGUUUUCCCCCCGGGGGGUCACACCAACUAGUAAAUUUGUAUACGUGCUCCCUUUUCCAGAUGGUGAUGCAAAAAGACACAAAGAUUUAUCCUGGUUCGGGCAAGAGAAGGCCCUACGUCCAGCAGGGGAGGGGAGAGUUUGUAUUAUUCUGCACCUAAGUGCUUGUAUAGGGGUGAAUACAAGUGUGUAUGAAGUAAGAUGGAGUGAGCUUGCACUACUGCGUAUGGCUUGGGUGUUGUGUUGUAUCACGUCCCCUUGUAUCCGCUCCCGGGUCUCCCCUUUUAUAGUUCCAAGGAGAGACAUAGGGUACAUGUAUAGGCGUCAGAGUAGGGGUCGAUAGAGGUAUGGUGCGCUGACCUACUCGAGGCCUCCGUACCGGCGUGGUCUCGAGCCGUCCCGUCCUGGUAGCUUGAUGAUGAUUACGCGUGCCCCUGCAUCCUGCUCUGCGCGCCGUCUUGGGCUGGUUUAUCUGUCGCAUGCCUGUACGUCAUGGUGGCCGAUACGACAGAGUGGUUGUGGUGUUGUCAUUCGAGGCCGAACCCUUCUCCAGGAAGGAAGCAUGUCUGGUCGAGGGUCGGACGCCAUGUAAUGCCCUGCUAGCCAGAGCGCUGACCUUGGACGUCUCGAGGGGCUCUUGAUUAGACGUUCCGACCAUGCAUCCUGCGUCCUGACACGCUCUGGGUUAUUUGGUGGGAAGGCUGCAAAAAGAAUGAUGGGACAGGUGCCUGUUCCCUAUCACGCUUCCCAUGAUUGGCGUGUUAGGUGGGAACGCGACAGGCGCAUUAAAUGCCCUGACUCCCGUGCCCGCGCCAGGCGGCGGGCGGCGUCCUUGCGCUCGAUGUCUUCUGAUUCGCUCGAGCCUGUUUCCGUAUUCGACGGUUGCCGACGCUCGAGCCCAGAUCAAUUCGCUCGACGCCCUUUCCGCCUUCGAGGCUGCGGUUGUCGAUGACCGUACGCGUGACUAGGUAGAGCGUCGAGUUGGAGGCCUCGACUUGCGUACAUUCAAUCUCGUCAUGCAUAUCAGUUAGGAUACCCCUUACUGAUAUCCUCGACAGUAGCCCCCGAGUUUCCAUUUGAGCGCUGGCACUCGAGUGGAGGCUGUAUUCUCGUAGUCGUGUUUCCGUGGGGGCGCGCGAGCGACCCCGGGAGGGUAGCCCCCGAGCCCUUGGAGGAGUUUUUGACUCCUUCGAUGGUUAUAUCGCAUAAUUUGUAGAAAUGUUGUCGACACCGGUGGUGGAAGGUUCUGAUCGGCUCGUUUUGUGUGGGGGUUUCGACGUACUCUCGAUAGAGCGAGCGUCAUCCACCCUAGAUUGAGUUCCUAACGGGUAGUCCAAGUGAGAACCUGUGCCCCUUUCGAGGGGGUCAGCUGUAGCCCGGAGGCGUUCUCAUAAAGCGGGGUCGACGUGGUCGGGGAUACUGGUCUCGUUCGAUAGAGUCCAGUGGCUCGAUGCCUCUAGUUGGGGGAUUCCUCUCGACUGUCUCAACCCUACCUUGGACAUCCCCAGUGAGUUCUCGAGGUGGGCCUCGAUUUUCGACCACUCGCUGGGCAUCCCUGACUCUGGUGCUCGAGAUCGGUUGUCGAACCCUUUCGGCGGGUCAGCCUGCGACCUCUCGAGGCUUCCGUGGGUACGCACCUUGGCUUAUAAGGGAAGGAAGAGGCCGUGGCAGUUCACCUUUUUGCCUGUUGGGCGUGUCUUUUCAGGCGGGAGCCAUUGCGACACUAUAUCGGCGUAGAAUUCGUAGCGUCUUGUCUGUGAGAGGAAGAUUACCGUUAGGCGGCGCAUUUCUGGGAGGAGUUACUGUAUUUAUCGGAUCUGUCCAUUGGUGGUUGCCAUCUAUAAACAUCCCGUGGCCUUGCUGCCAUUCUCCCUUCCGCCUUCUACCUCCAUUCUUGCCUUUGCUCCCUUGCCAACUCACGCACGCGCGCCCCCUCAAGUAGUAGCGAACCUGCCUUCCUUCCAUCCAAGAUGCCUAUGAGACUUGUCGCCGCUGACGACUGGUGCCCGUCGUCGAUGACGGAGCGCCGGCUGUUGGAGCUCGAGAGGGAGGGGCUUCUGCGCCCCCGCACUUCAUCGUCGCGGCCGUAGUGGAUAGCGCCGGCGGCACACCACCGGGAGCCCAGGCCGCCCACUGGCUAUGUGGUCUCCUUCGUCAAAUUCCACCGCCACAGCCUGGGUGCCCCCUGAGUCGCUUCAUGCGGGCGCUCUGCCACCAUCACGGGGUGGAGCUCCAGCAUUUCUCCCCAAACGCCAUCACCGUCGCGGCGGUCUUCGCCGCGGGGUGUGAGGGCUAUUUGGGGAUGAUGCCCCACUAGGAGUUGUGGCUCCACCUCUACAGGGACGAGCUCUUCAAUGCCCCCACUGGGACUACUGGCAUGAGGAAACCUGUGCGGGCCGGGUGCCUCAACCUGGUGCUGAAGACGGGGAAGACGGAGAGGCCACGCGAGUACAUCCCGGUGGGGUUGUCAUCGAACCACGCCGGGUGGGACUCCCAGUGGUUCUACCUGAGGAACGACGAUGGUCUCCUACCUGCCUACACCGGCCGCCUGAUCACGGAGCACCCGGAGAACUGGACGUACGGCGUCGUCCAAGUUCAUCAGUCGCGGAUCAACCCCCUCCUCGACGCCUUGAAGAAGCUAUGUGUGGAGGGUCUGUCCGCCGCUCUCGUCCUCUCGGCGGUCCAUCAUCGGAGGAUUCUCCCGUUGAUGUCUCGGCCGUUGUGGAUGGAUGAGAUGGGUCCCGACGUUUCGUCCUGAGACCUCGAGGCGUGCCGGAUGUCCAACGAGGCUCCGGCGGACGACGAGGUCGCGGCCCGGGUCAGGGCGGCCGUCGCCGGCGACUUCCAGCUGAGCAUGACAACGGCUUCCCCAUGAGGCCUGAUGUGGGCUCAAUCGACCUGGUAAGUUCUUUCUUUGCGUAUGGCUCUGAUUCUGGAUUUCCUUCGAUCCCCUUCUUAAGCCUGUCCUUGCUCUCGCAGGGGCCGAUCGACGUUCAGUCCUCGAGGCCUCCAGUAAAGGAGGACGGGGUUGACCGUGACAAGUGGCGGCAAUCCGUAGAAAAUCGGAAGUCCGCAAAGGACUCGGAAAAGAAAGAGAAGAAGAAGAAGAAUCUCGACCGCCAAUCGUUAGAGGUGCGUCGAGCCAAGUCCAGGCAAAGGGGGGAGCCUGAGGAAGAAUCCCCCAGUGAGGACGACGGGCGGAGACGGUGAUGACGACAGCGACGACUCCGAGGGGAUGGCGUCUCGCCUUGAUCGGAUCCUUGAGGGUCCGCUUCGAGGCGACGUCGACGCCCCGCGGACGGGAGCGCCAAUCGAGGGGCCAGGCAGAUCUCACCACCCCUGCGCUGACACCCCUCCCACGCCUGCGCCAAGUCGGGCCGUCCCGCACCCCCAACCUCCUCCUGCACCAAUGGCGGGGGGCCAGGCUAAGCCCCAGGCGACGGGGCCGUUGACCCAUGGCCGCGCCGUGGCCUCCGAAAAGGGAGAAACUGGCCGCAGGAGCACUAGCCCCAGCACUCGCCAGGUGGGAGAUGCUGGACCAAAGCCUGCGCCUGCCCGUGAGGGGCCUAGAGCCUCGACGCGAGGCGGCUCGAGGCCUGCCAGUCGAGGCACCGGUAGGCGGGUCGUUCUCCCUGUGGGGUAAGUUCUUCGACGCUGUGAUUCUCAUUCUCCUAUUUCUUUGCAUUUUCUCAUAUAAUGGUCUCCCUUAUGUCCAUUUCUCUUUCCUCAGGUUGAAGCGGACGCUUGAGCAGGCCUAGCCUUCAAUGGCGAAAAGGGCGCGGCCUCCAAAGACUAGGGUUAGUGGCUUAUUCCCAUUGUUAUGGGAGUUAUGUCAUUCUGGUGACGACUGACCUUCGCUUAUGUGUGUAUUACAGGCUCGUCCGACCCUCGACCGCCGACCGGUGCUGAGAGCGCCCCGCCCUGUCCCCUGGCGGGUGAGUCUGCCCCGUCGUCGCCAAAGCGGGUCGAGGCGCCUCACCCGCAAGGGCAGGAGGGAGCCCCCGAGCCUCCCCGAUCAGGGGUUGAGGCCGAUCCUAUCACUAUAAGUGACAGGUCAGGCAGCGAUGGGUCUUCGAGGGACGCCCACCCUAUGGACGAGGAGGUCGAGGCCUCUCCCACCGCGAGGCGGAUGCCUUGGCCCAUCGGGCUCCACUCUGUCGAAGAGCAGAGGAAGAAAGAGGAAAGAGAGCGCGAGCAGAAGACGCGGGAACAGCCGCAGGAGGGACAACAGCUGCAGCCGAAGGGAGGAGAAGUGGGGCAGCCGUCAGCAGGUCCCCAGCUCGAGGAGCUGCUGGAGCAGGACCGUCGCCAAGAGCUGUAGGAGCCCCAGGAGCAGUAGCAGCAGAGGGGCCAGCAGUUGGAGGAACCGCUCGAGCCUCCUCCCCAUAGCCUGCCCCAACCGGUACCACCAGUGCCGUAAGAGCCCGGGAAACAGGAGGAGGGACUGCCAGUUUUUGGUCCUCCAACCCCAGCAUGGCUCCGUCCAGGGGCGCCCGCCUCGAUCCCAGCGGAGUCGGGGCGGGCGGACGGCGUGGUGGCACUCGCCUGCAUGAUGCGCGCCCCCGUCGACCCCGAGUCCGAGAUCAGGAGGACGAUAUAUGGCAUGGACGGAAUCGCCCUAGGGUUCCUCCGGGAGCGUUGGUCGUGGGAGGACCGUAUUCCCGCCGAGGAGGACGAGGCUGGGACGUCGGGCGGUGGUGGAGGCAGUGAAACCGGGACCUGGAAGACGGUGGACGACGACGGGCAGUUCCCUUCCCUCAUCGACUUGUUCCUGCGCCACGGGGGGUCACUCGAGACCGUCGAGGAGCUCAUCCGUGGCGUCAAGGCGCGGGCCGACCAGGAGAUGGAGAAUUGGUGCCCCGACUGGAUCCGCAUCCGGGCUUCCACCGAUCUGACUGAGCCCAACAUCUUUCUAGACGAUCGGAAAGAGGCCGAGAAGUGGGAGCACGUCGAGGAGCUCCGCCUCUGGAUGAAGCACACGGUGGGGCUCCUGUCGGACGUUGUUAACAACGGGCUUGGACCGUCCUACUUUGUAAGUAUUUCCCAGUCCUUUAAUCUUUAUGGACCGGCCUACUCAAUCAUUGGCUCGUAGGAUCUGAAAGAGACCUCCCGCAUCAAGUCGAACUUCAUCCACGCAACGAGAGGCGGCUGGGAGCAACUCCCCAUCCUUAAGGACAAACUUCUGGAGUUGCAGGAGAAGGUCCUCAAGGCCUAUAAGGAGCUCUUGGCACUCGAGGAGGAGAAGAAGGAGAGGGAGGCUGCUCUGGUCGAGGCUCGAGAGGCCUCAAGGAAGGCGGUGGAAGAGGCUACGUGUUGAUGGUCCUUAAGUAUCAAAUUUAAUUAUCAAAUAAAUGAAGAAAAGGAUCCAAAUGAAAUCAACAUCUAGACUUAGGGUUUUAUCUGAUAGAAUUCCACGAGUUUUGGUGUUUGUCUAUUUCUGCAGGGGGUUAUCAGGAAAUACGGAAGAAAGGCCCACACGUCGGGAUUACAUAGAGAUAUUAACGUGCCGCGGAAUUAUCUUACAUCUAGAAGACUCCAGAAGCCAUGAGACCGAAGCGGAGGUGAAACGGGGCCAGAGGCAGGGCGCCCGCCCUCCUGCCCUGGGCGCCCGCCCCCUCUCGGAGUCCAAUCAGGACUCUGCUUUGUGGGAGAUCUCCACCGACCUAAAGGAUGAAUCUAAACCAUACAAUCUAUGUCAGUUUGAUCCAAUGGCCCAUAUUUACUUGAAGGGACUAUAAAACCAGACCCCUGGCCCCUGGAGGAGAGAGCCUCUCAACCCUAGUUCAUUGUUCUUCAAGGGAGAAGAAGCCUCUGAUCAAGAUUAGAGCCACCACAUCAAUUAGAUAUCUAGAUUAGCAUAGCUACAUAGGAUUAGAACUAGAAGGAGUCAAUCUUCGAUUGGUUUCCGGAUCUGUCAAGAGGAUUCUUGGUAAUUCUGUAAUUGUGCUUCUAAUUGCUUUCUAAUUAUCUUUGUUCUUCAAUAUUAUGAAUAUGACUUUGUUCUACUUCAAUAUAUUGUUUAUGACUUUGCUCUACUUGCUUAUAUUCAAGAUUAUAUUGUUCUUAGUUUAUCAUAGUUAUGUACUUGGCUUAGUUAGAUUGGAUCUAUAUACAUGCUUAGGAUCGUAUAGCGUUUAUCCAUCGGAUCCAUGGGUAAAUGAUAGAUAUUGUGUAGGCGUGGUGCUUAUACCGUAUUUAUCUGCGAUUGUACCCAAUAUGCCAGAUCGUGGGGUGGUUCGUGAUAGUGACAGCUUCAUUGAUUCUUUUAUAGUCCCCCUCUCGUGUAUUGGGCUGGCAGAGCAACAUUAUUACAGGGGAGUGAUUGCUAUGUUUCUCAUAUUCCUAGCUAAUAUCACUAUGCAUGGGCGUAGUGUUGUCUUACUAUGAUUGCUAAGUAUGCUUGCACUAAUUAUGAUAAUGCUAGACUAUAUAGUUGAGAAUAACUUAGGGAAUAUUCUUGUAGUUUGUUCUAAUACCAUGCUAAUGACUUUCUAGAGUAUCUAAUUGAGGUGCUUAUCAUAUUUAUUAUGUGGUUAGAACAGAUUAGUUAUCCUUGUCACUAUUAUUAUUUCAUAUAUCUUUUAUGUGACACCUAACCCUGUAUGAAGAGUUAGAUAUAAUGUUCUCAAUUAUACAUGCAAUGAUAGAUGCUCAAUCUCAUAUUCUAUUCUGUAAUCAAUAUUGAUGAUUGCUAAUCCCUUCCCAGUGGUAAAAACAUAAAUAAUGAUACCUGGAAUACUUCCCGGUUAAAAUGCUACAUUGGUAUUAAUCUGUGCGCUUGCAGAUCCCAUUCAUUUUUUAUUUAGAAGAGCAAUUGCAUAUUUUAAUACCGCGUCUCUUAUAUCAUGCUGGGGAUGACAACUUGGCUUAAGUGGUGUGAGGGAUAGGUUUGGCAUUUUUGGCACCGUUACUAGAUUUAGAGAACUUAGUCUACUUUUGGUAAUGAUGUUAAGAAUACCCAACAAGCAUUUUUGGCGCCAUUGCCGGGGAAGGUUGAUUACUAAUCAGGAAUGGAAUAAAAGAUUUUGAGUUAUCAUUCGCAUCACUAAUAUGAUUGAGCUUAUCUAUUCUCUCAUACAGUUUUACCCCGAUAUUUUUCUAUUUUAUCUUAUGCAGGGGAAUGUAUGAAUAGAAGACAUCUUCCAGGAAAUUUUGUUGACAAUCCUGAAGCAUUAUUCAAGAAGACGAGAGCCAAGCUCCAGAAGAGAUCAUCAACACUUCAACAAGAAGCUUCAUCCAAUCAAGAAGAUCACCGGAACUUGUCUUCUGAGUUCGAAGCCAUGGCGAACAAAUCAAUCCGCGAGUUCUCAGCUCCCACUACAGACAACAUCCGCACUGGACCUGCUGCAGAGAUCGAUGGCAACUUUGAGCUCAAGCCUGGACUUAUCAACAUGGUGCAAUCUAACCAGUUCUGUGGAAAGGCACACGAAGAUGCUAGUGCUCAUUUACAACACUUCCAGGAGAUUUGCAACACAUUCACUAUAUGAGGAGUUUCCAAAGAUGCUAUACUACUUCGCCUCUUCCCAUUCUCACUGUUAGGGAGAGCGAAGCAGUGGUUCUACGCUACAAAGGAGAAGAAUACUACGUGGGCACUCUGCUCAACAAACUUCCUGGCUAAGUUCUUUCCCAUGGGCAAGACCAAUGCUCUCCAUGGGAAGAUUACAAGUUUUCAGCAACAAAAUGAUGAAUCUGUUCCAGAAGCAUGGGAGCGCUUUCAAGACUACAUCCUAGAAUGUCCCCAUCAUGGAAUGGAAAGUUGGCUAUUGAUGCAGAUGUUUUAUCAUGGACUCGGCAACAGUGCCCGAGAGACCAUGGAUGCUGCAGCUGGAGGAGCAUUCUUAUCACUUACUAUACCACAAGCCACAGCUCUUGUGGAGAAGAUGGCGUCCAACCAAGGCUAGAAUGAAGAGAGGACCCAGACACGCAAGAGAGGUGGAGGUAUGCAUCAGCUCAAGGAGGUAGACAUGUUGUCUGCAAAGCUAGACCUGCUCAUGAAGAAGCUCGAUGAUAGAGCUGGAGACAAGAAAGAAGUUAUGCACAUCUACGACUCUCACAUGACUUGUGAGGAGUGUGGGGACACUGGACACUCAGGCAACCACUGCCCUGAGAUGCUUGAGGAUGUGAACUACAUCAACAACAACAAAAACAACUACUGCAACCGUCCUCAACAAAAUCAAGGUUGGAAUCAACAGAGGCCUAACUACUCAGGUAAUUAUCAAGGUAACAAUUCUUACAACAAUAAUAAUAAUUUUCCACCUCUGAGAGAGUUAGUGUCUAAUCAAGGAAAGCUAAUGGAUAACCUAUCUAAGAAAUUGUCAUCUAAUGAUAAAAUGCUAGAAAAUAUAAAUAAUAGAAUGGAUAAUUUCUCUACUGCCAUCAAGAAUCAAAUUAGCUUUAAUAAAAUGAUUGAAUCUCAGUUAAAUCAAAUAGCUGCUGCUGUUCCCGUCACUAACCCCGGUAUACCAUCACAACUGGAAGGAUUAGAAUCUGCAAAUCUUGUAGACAUGUUUGAUGCAGGUAAUAAUUGGAGUAACCCCGUCACUGAAUUCUCUACUGACCUUCUGCCGGUCAAGAGAGGCGAUCCAGGACGCCCCGUCAUCCCGAUCUUCAUCGGCAUGGUGGAUGUCCCAGAAGCACUCUAUGACUUUGGCUCCAGCGUCAACAUUAUUCCCAGGGUACUCUAUGAAAAAUUCUUUACAUAUCCUUUAUUAGUAACAACGAUGUGUUUGCAGUUUGCAGAUCAGAUGAUAAGUUUUCCAAAAGGAAUAGUGAAGAACCUUCGCGUCCGAGUUGGUACCUUGUAUGCCCCAGCAGACUUCGUAGUGGUAGAGACCGGAAAUGAUGAGAGGGCACCUAUCAUCUUAGGGAGGCCAUUCUUGAACACCAUGGGAGCUAUCAUCUAUGCUAGUGCUGCUAAGAUCAAUUUCUACGUCAAAGGGAGGAAGGAGACAUUUUUCUUCAAGAACAAGACUACACAAAUUCCAAAUCAAUCCAGACGUGAAUCAAGGAAGAGGACCAACAGGAGGAACAGGAACAAGCAAGUGUGGACCGAGUCAGCUAAGAUGGUCACUGUAGUUCAUGGAGGCAAGGAUCAUCAACUCAAGUCACCGCUUUUGACCAAGAAGGAUGACCCAGGAAUGCCAAGCAUCUAUUGCUCCAUAAAUGGAUACAACUUCUACAAUAUGUUUUGUGACACCGGAUCGGGCGUCAACAUAAUGGCCGCAGUCACCUAUCAGCUCUUGUUCGGAACCAUGCCACUAAGACCAACAUACAUUCAGCUCCAGAUGGCAGAUCAGACAUUUCGAGAAGUUAAAAGAAUAGUAACUGAUGUUCCAGUCAAAAUAGAUGAUCACUUUGUCUACACAAACUUUCAAGUUAUUGACAUGGGAGAAGAUGAGUAUGAUCCACCCAUCAUCCUUGGAAGACCAUUCCUCAGCACCGUUAAAGCAAUUAUCUACAUUGGAACCGGAGAAGUCCAUAUGCACUUCCCCUCAGAGAAGGUACGCCGUUAUUUUACUGACCCUAACUAUAUCGUUGAAGAAUCUAAGCAGGUAAGGAAAAGACGCAACCGUAACCAGAGGAGGUAGAUCAGCAAGGAUGGAUGGGCAGACUAUGAAGGCGAAGUUGUAAGGUCAGAAGACGUAGAGUUUAAACAGAAUUAUCCAGAGGAGACUGAAGCACCAAGUCAGGUGUGGAAAAUGAAGAUAACUAUACAUGAAGAGGAGGCGCCACCGGAAGUACCGACUACACCACCCAACAAACCUCAGGACGAUUGAAAAAAUGGAGAGUCCCGUUCGGAGGACUUAAAAACACCGAAUGCCUUGCCAAGAGGUAAACUUGGUAGUUAUCCUUUCCCUUUUAAUUAUGUCAAUUAGUUGACUUAGUUAAUCAUGUUCGUGCUAUCUUAAAAAGAAAAUAAUAAUGUGAAAAACAGUAAGCCCCAUGUGAGUAGAUGAGUGGCAUAAAACCCAUAAGUACAUUCACUAUGGUGGCAUAAAAAUAAAAUAAAUAUUUUUCUGCUUUAUAAAAUAAAAAUAUAAAAACAGGGAGUAAUAAUUAUUAAGGAGUCUCAACAUGAUAAAGGCUAGAUAUUUAUGCUAACACUUAAUCAGUUCCACCAGCUUUGUUGUCUAUUUGAGCUCCACAGGAUUUAAGAAUCAAGAAGACUAGCAGACGGAGGACAUUCUAAUCGCUGUCAGAAUGCUGCUGACUUUCAAAUACACCUCUGCCACCUGCUAGCUACAUCAAGAGAAAUUACGUCAAAAUUCAGCUUGGGGGAGAGAACCCCCAUUUAUCUCGAUAAGUAUUUCUAUCUUUAUACUUAUAUUAUUUUAGAAUAUAAAUAUACAUAACUAUGAAAAACCAAAUAAAGAUUUUAUGCUUAUACUUAUAUAUAUGUAUAUCUUUUACUUAGUGUGUUUAUUAAAUAAAGUGGCUAUGCUAAUCUGUAUCUUAAUAAUAAAACUCUGGUAUGGAUAUGAUGAAUAGUUGCUCUGUCUAAUUUGCACAUUUUAAGUUCUCUCUCAAGCUUAGAUAUAACUGUUAUAAUUUAAAGCUUGCUCGAGACCUAAACUUGUGGGAUGAAAACUUGAUCUAAAGUCUAAGUUGUUAACGGAUACGAUAUGGGAAGGUUGAGCUGCUGUUUAUCUGUUACUAGAGAUGCUAGAAUUCUGGAGAAUUUUAUCUUUGAAAAUCUUUUAAAAUAUUGCAUGAUGAGUUCCUGUAUGAUGAGAGUUUAAAUUCCUACCACAGCCAUAUAUACAUGCUUGCUAGACUUUGAGCCACACAUUUACUAUUUACUGCUUAUGAGCAUUGAGUGUGGUCGAGCUGUGUAGACCCUUAGGAGCUUGUCAUGUAGUUAAAUCAAGAUUCACUUGCACGUUCACUCAUAUAUGCUACUUCUACUCCGGAAGUACCAUCCACAUAUAUCCAUCCAUGUCCAUCUCCAGAAUCACCAAAAAAAUAUUCUACUCCUAAUCCGGGAGAGAAUAGCCAAAAAUAUUUCUGUUUUCCCUUGUGAAAUAAAUGCUCAAGUUAUCUUGUUACUACCACUUGCUAUAUUAUCUCAAGAGAUGAGUGCUCUAAAAAAACGAGAAAAUAAAAAGGAGCAAGUGCUCGGAACCUCGAAAGAAAAGAAAAGUGAGACGAGAGGUAAAAAUGGACAAGUGUCCGACAGUAGAAUUAGGGGUACAAGAUACCCACCUGAGAGAAAAGAAAAAAAAUAUAGAGCAUCUCGUUCUCCUCACAAAGUUUCAAAAAGCAAGAAAGGUAUGUAUCCCCUCAAAAGCACAAAAGUAGAAUUAGACUUCCAUUACCAUUGUUUUCACCAUUGUUAUCACCAUCAUCACCAUACACCAUUCAUUCGCCACACAUGCACAUCUUGAUUAAACUUAUUGAUUUGUUUCUUUGGAUCCAUGGUUUGACUAUGCAAUAAAUGUCUUGUAAGUAUGUAUACUUUAUCUCCCAACUAUGAGCUCCAGAUAUUAAAGCCUUAUUAGAGUAGGGUGAGAGAGAGAGACAACGUCACUAUGCUUUAUACCACAAAUACUACAUAUCUUGAGAGAAGGCAUAUACCAUCACUGCUUUGGUAAGGAUCCAGAAAUACCACAAAAGAGAGAUAUAAGAGAGUCAUACAAGGAAUCUCUGAGUUUUAUUUGAAAAUCUGCAAAAACCCCAGAGCUAUAGCUGAUCAAGAAUAAGAGACAUCGCACUGGACUAGACUGUUUUAUCUUUUAACUACUCAAGAUAGAAGUGACGGUUACAAGUCACAUGGUGAGGGUAAAGUAAGUAAGUUUUAAGUCUUGACAGUUUACUCUAACUCAGAGAUGAGAUCUUAUUUAAAAAGCAUAUGUACUGUCAAAUUUUAAAAAUAUUGCAACAACUUAUGAUCCAUAGCUCAGUCUAUCCUUGCUCAGGGACGAGCAAGAGGUAAGCUUGGGGGAGUUUGUUGAUGGUCCUUAAGUAUCAAAUUUAAUUAUCAAAUAAAUGAAGAAAAGGAUCCAAAUGAAAUCAACAUCUAGACUUAGGGUUUUAUCUGAUAGAAUUCCACGAGUUUUGGUGUUUGUCUAUUUCUGCAGGGGGUUAUCUGGAAAUACGGAAGAAAGGCCCACACGUUAGGAUUACAUAGAGAUAUUAACAUGCCGCGCAAUUAUCUUACAUCUAGAAGACUCCAGAAGCCACGAGACCGAAGCGGAGGCGAAACGGGGCCAGAGGCAGGGCGCCCGCCCCCUCUGGGAGUCCAAUCAGGACUCUGCUUCGUGGGAGAUCUCCACCGACCUAAAGGAUGAAUCUAAACCAUACAAUCUAUGUCGGUUUGAUCCAAUGGCCCAUAUUCACUUGAAGGGACUAUAAAACCAGACCCCCUGGCCCUUGGAGGAGAGAGCCUCUCAACCCUAAUUCAUUGUUCUUCAAGGGAGAAGAAGCCUCUGAUCAAGAUUAGAGCCACCACAUCAAUUAGAUAUCUAGAUUAGCAUAGCUACAUAGGAUUAGAACUAGAAGGAGUCAAUCUUCGAUUGGUUUCCGGAUCUGUCAAGAGGAUUCUUGGUAAUUCUCUAAUUGUGCUUCUAAUUGCUUUCUAAUUAUCUUUGUUCUUCAAUAUUAUGAAUAUGACUUUGUUCUACUUCAAUAUAUUGCUUAGGACUUUGCUCUACUUGCUUAUAUUCAAGAUUAUAUUGUUCUUAGUUUAUCAUAGUUAUGUACUUGGCUUAGUUAGAUUGGAUCUAUAUACAUGCUUAGGAUCGUAUAGCGUUUAUCCAUCGGAUCCAUGGGUAAAUGAUAGAUAUUGUGUAGGCGUGGUGCUUAUACCGUAUUUAUCUGCGAUUGUACCCAAUAUGCCAGAUAGUGGGGUGGUUCGUGAUAUUGACAGCUUCAUUGAUUCUUAUAUAGUCUCCCUCUCGUGUAUUGGGCUGGCAGAGCAACAUUAUUACAGGGGAGUGAUUGCUAUGUUUCUCAUAUUCCUUGCUAAUAUCACUAUGCAUGGGCGUAGUCUUGUCUUACAAUGAUUGCUAAGUAUGCUUGCACUAAUUAUGAUAAUGCUAGACUAUAUAGUUGAGAAUAACUUAGGGAAUAUUCUUGUAGUUCGUUCUAAUACCAUGCUAAUGACUUUCUAGAGUAUCUAAUUGAGGUGCUUAUCAUAUUUAUUAUGUGGCUAGAUCAGACUAGUUAUCCUUGUCACUAUUAUUAUUUCAUAUAUCUUUUAUGUGACACUUACCCCUCUAUGAAGAGUUAGAUAUAAUGUUCUCAAUUAUACAUGCAAUGAUAGAUGCUCAAUCUCAUAUUCUAUUCUGUAAUCAAUAUUGAUGAUUGCUAAUCCCUUCCCAGUGGUAAAAAUAUAAAUAACGAUACCUGGAAUACUUCCCGGUUAAAAUGCUGCAUCAGUAUUAAUCUAUGCGCUUGCAGAUCCCAUUCAUUAUUUAUUUAGAAGUGCAAUUGCAUAUUUCAAUACCGCGUCUCUUGUAUCAUGCUGGGGAUGACAACUUGGCUUAAGUGGUGUGAGGGAUAGGUUUGGCAUUUUUGGCACCGUUACUAGAUUUAGAGAACUUAGUCUACUUUUGGUAAUGGUGUUAAGAAUACCCAACACUACGCUGCUGAGGGAGCGGGCUAUGAGGGUCGAAGAGGCUGCGUCUAAGGCCCGGGAUGAGGCCUCUACCUACAAGAACGCUGCUGCUGACCUAGACAGGGAAAGGGGCCUCCUCCAGACUGAUCUCGCUUCCGCCCGAGAAUCCUUCCAGAGGAUGAAGGUAGAGUGCGUGAAUGGCGAGAUCACUAGGAGCGCCGCGGAGGAGGCCAAGAAAAAGGCCCUCGAAGAUCUCGAGGAGGAGCGGGCUCGAUCCCGCAGCCUUUCUGACGACGUUGAUCGUCUGAAGAGAGCGCUGCUGGAGAAAGACGGGGCCCUCGCACAAGCCGGCAAGGUGAUCGAGGAUCUACGUGUCGCCAACACCGAGGUGGCGCGCUCCAACAGGGAGGUCGAGAGGGCCAACACCAACUUGGUCGGCGAGAAUACGGCUCUGGAGGAGAGCAUCCGUGGUACGUUCUCCACUAUCGAGUUUCUUUUCUGAGGUGUGCUUGGUGUUUUUUAAUUUCUUCAUGUUGGUCUUUGCAGGGCUCAAAGACGAGCUGCUGGCCGCCCAAGUCGAGGCCCGUUCCAUCAAGACUCAGCUCGAGGGGGAGGUCGCCUUGAAUGGUCAUCUACGAACCACGAUAAGCGACCUCUCAGCCUCCUGGGAGCUCGAGCCUGUUGACGAGUCGAGGGAGGAGGCUCGAGGCGACACACUCGUUGACCAGCUAUGCUACCUUGGAGCUACGCUGAGGGACCGAGUGCGGGACGCUCUUCACAUCAGAGUGAAGCGGGCGAUGGCGGUAGUCUGCUCAGGCUUUUCUUACGACAUGGGGGUGGUGUCCCACGGCUUCGUCACCGACAUCUCCAAGACUGACGCGGAGAACAAGGAGAGGCUCCACGCCUUGAUCGACGACGCAGAGGUUCCUAGGGAGAGGUUGGCUAAGUUGUUUGAGCCUGAAGUACUUCCUCCUGAGACUAGCUCGGGCGCGGGUGAGGAUGGUGAGGGCCGAGACGCGGACUGAGGCCUGUGAGCCUGCUCUGCGUGCCUAGGCCCCUUGUAUAGUACUUUGCUAAUUUGUCUUAAGUAAUACAAUGUCUUUAAGUGGUUAUUAGAUCUUUGUGAAUGUUUAUCUGUCUUUCCGCUCGAGGCUCCUUUGUUUCCUUUUGCGCGUAUGUUUGUAUUCCUCGUUUGAUCUUUCGUUUAAGGCGAUCCUGAUUGCCUCAAGGGUGAGGAAACGAGUAGAGUUUCCGUAGCCCGGGGGCGUAGGAGUUCUCAGGCUCGUCGUCUCUCGACCCUUAACGGGCUCGAGGUGCCUCUACUACUCGACCGUACGAGGUUACUGAUAGGAACAAAUGGAUUACUUGGUUUUUUUGACACUUGGGGGGGCAUCACCCCCUUGCUAUCCCUCGAGGGGGUAUGGACUAUGAUGGGUCAUAGUUGGUACUCCAUUCUAAUGUCGAGAUUUCGACUCGUGAAAAAGUAAAUUGCUCGAGGGAAGGAUCUUAUUCAUUCACGCAUUCAUUCACAAUGCCUUGGUACAGAAUGUACAUGGGAACAUAAAGCUUUGAAAGUCUAGGGGUAGAAUCGACGUAGCUGUUCGAUGUUCCACGUGUUGGUGAAGAUCGCCCCCUUUUCAUCCGCGAGCUUGUAUGUCCCCGGCUUCAAGACCUCGGCCACUACGUAUGGGCCAUCCCAAGGUGGAGUCAGCUUGUGGCGUCCUUGAUUGUUUUGCCGCCGCCGUAGGACGAGGUCGCCCACGUUCAAGUCCCUCUUGCACACGUGCUUGUCAUGGUAGCGUCGAAGCUUCUGCUGGUAUCUGGCGGAGUUGAGGAGGGCCAUGUCUCGAGCUUCCUCGAGUUGGUCGACCGCAUUUUCUUGAGUCUCCUUAUUUGAUUGCUCGUUGUAUGCUUUGGGUCGAGGGGAUCCAUACUCGAGGUCCGUUGGGAGCACGGCCUCAGAGCCAUAGACCAUGAAGAAUGGGGUGUAUUUUGUGGCCCUGCUUGGCGUCGUCCUUAAGCUCCAUAGGACUGAGGAAAGCUCCUCGACCCAUUUCUUGCCAAAUUUCUUCAAGCGAUUGUAGAUCCUCGGUUUGAGCCCUUGCAAAAUCAUGUCGUUGGCACGCUCGACCUGGCCGUUAGUUCGAGGGUGGGCCACUGCAGACUAGUUCACACGGAUGUGAUGCUGAUCGCAGAAGUCCAAGAACUUUUUGCUGGUGAACUGACUGCCAUUGUCAGUGAUGAUGAUGUUGGGAAUCCCAAACCGGUGGAUGAUGUCGGUGAAGAAAAGGACGGCCUGUUCGGAGCGGAUGUUGGUAAUGGGUUGAGCCUCGAUCCAUUUGGACAAUUUGUCGAUGGCCACCAACUAGUGGGUGUACCCCCCUUUUGCCUUCUGUAGAGGCCCUACUAAGUCAAGCCCCCACACCGCAAACGGCCAUGUGAUGGGGAUCAUCUGGAGAGCGUGAGCGGGAAGAUGUGUCUGCUUGGCAUAGAACUAGCACCCAUGACACGAGCGCACGAGCUCAAUGGCGUCAGAUACGGCCGUUGGCCAGUAGAAGCCUUGUCGGAAAGCGUUCCCUAUGAGGGUCCGUGGAGCAGCGUGGUGGCCACAAGCCCCCGAGUGUAGAUCCUCGAGGAGUUUUCGGCCUUCUUCUAUGGUGAUGCAGCGCUGCAAGAUCCCUAUUGUGCUUCGCCAGUAUAGCUCAUUGCUCUCGCCGUAGAUCGCAUACGAUUUGGCACGUCGAGCGAUACGGCGGGCCUCGGAUCGAUCUUCUGGCAGCUCAUAUCGGAUUAGGCAGUUGAGGAAUGGCGUGCACCAGUCAAACGGUCGACUGGGCCACUGUUAAACCUCCAUUACCUAAGCUGCCAUUAGUAGCGCUUCGACGGUGUCGGUUUGCUGGGCAGGAGCGGCUUCGAUACCAGCCCCCGAGCCCAAGUCAACAGAUGGCUCGUGUAGAUCUCUCGAGAACGCGUCGGGUGGGACCGUGCCACGAGUCGACGCGAUCUUAGCGAGUUCGUCGGCUGCCUCGUUGUAGCGUCGAGCGAUGUGGACGAGCUCGAGGCCAUGGAACUUGUCCUCGAGUCGACAGACUUCCUUGCAGUAUGCCUCCAUUUUCGGGUCGUGGCAGCUCGAGGUCUUCAUCACUUGGUCGGUGACGAGCUGGGAAUCGCCUCGAAUGUCGAGGCGUCGGACUCCUAGCUCGAUGGCGAUCUUCAGACCGUUGACAAAGGCCUUGUACUCUGCAACAUUGUUCGAUGUGGCAAAAUGUAUCGUGAUGACGUACCUCAUAUGAACACCCAGGGGCGAGAUGAAUAGCAGGCCUACCCCAGCUCCUGUCUUCAUGAGAGACCCGUCAAUGUACAUCGUCCACAGCUCUGCCUGAACUUGAGCCGGGGGGAGCUGGGAGUCUGUCCACUCCGCGACGAAAUCCACCAGGGCUUGUGAUUUGAUAGCUUUAUGGGGCGCAUAAGUGAGCGUCUCACUCAUGAGCUCGACCGACCACUUGGCGAUUCUUCCCGUGGCCUCCCGACUUUGGAUGAUCUCGCCCAAAAGGGAAAGACGAGACCACCGUGAUAGGGUGGCCGAGGAAGUAGUGUUGUAGCUUGCGUCGGGCAAGGAUUAUGGCGUAGAUUAGCUUCUGAAUUUGUGGGUAACGCGCCUUGGUCUCCGAGAGCACCUCACUGAUGAAAUAGAUCGGCCUUUGGACUGGCAGCGCAUGCCCCUCCUCCUGCCUUUCGACCACUACCGCCGCACUGACGACCUGGGUCGUCGAGGCGACGUAUAGAAGUAGAGGUUCUACGGGUUGAGGUGGGACUAAGACUGGUGCAGAGGUCAGCAUUUUCUUUAAGUUAUCGAGGGCUUCCUCGGCCUCUGGGGUCCAAGAGAACCACUCGACUUUCUUCAAAAGUCGAUACAGCGGCAACGCCUUUUCUCCCAACCUCGAGAUAAAAUAACUCAGCGCCGCUAAGCAUCCCGUAACUCUCUGCACGCCCUUGAUGUCUCGGUUCGGCCCCAUUCCCGUGAUGGCCGAGACUUUCUCGGGAUUAGCCUCGAUGCCGCGCUGGGAAACGAUGUAACCCAGGAGCAUACCUCGAGGCACGCUGAAAACGCACUUCUCGGGGUUGAGCUUGAUCUGGUUCGCGCGUAAGCAACUGAAAGCGAUCUCGAGGUCCUGAAUCAGGUCUCCCCGUCGCUUUGACUUGACGACGAUAUCGUCGACAUAGGCUUCGACCGUCGACCCUAUGUGCUUUCCAAAGACGUGGAGCAUGCAGCGCUGGUAUGUUGCUCCCGCAUUUUGAAGCCCGAACAGCAUGGUUACAUAACAAUACAUCCCAAAAGGCGUAAUGAAGCAUGUCGCGAGCUGGUCAGACUCUUUCAUUUUUAUUUGAUGGUAACCAGAAUAUGCAUCAAGGAAAGAAAGGGUUUCACAUCCCACAGUAGAAUCAACAAUUUGAUCGAUACGUGGUAAUGGAAAAGGAACUUUCGGACACGCUUUAUUUAAACUUGUAUAAUCGACACACAUCCUCAUUUUCCCAUUCUUUUUCUAAACUAGUACAGGGUUUGCUAACCAGUCGGGAUGGUGAACCUCCUUGAUGAAUCCGGCCAUCAAAAGCUUGAGGAUUUCCUCGCCAAUGAUGUUGCGCUUCUCCUCGUCGAAGCGGCGCAGCCGUUGCUUCAAUGGCUUGGAACCGGCUCAAAUUUCCAAGGAGUGCUCGGCGACUUCCCUCGGUAUGCCUGGCAUGUCCGAGGGACUCCAUGCAAACAUGUCAAUGUUCGCACGGAGAAAGUCGACGAGUACGGCUUCCUAUUUAGGGUCGAGGUCGGCGCUGAUCGUCAGCGCCUUGCCGUCAGAGUUGUUGGGGUCAAGCGGGAUCUUCUUGGUUCCUUCCGCAAAAUCGAAGCUGCCCGCGUGGCGCUUGGGCUCUGGAGCCUCUGCGGCCAGGGCCUCGAGCUUCGAGGCGAGCUCGGUGGAACUCUUGACUGCUUCCCCGUACUCGAUGCAUUCGACGUCGCACUUGUAUGCGUGCUCGAAAGAGGAGCUGACAGUGAUGACGCCCUUGGGACCGGGCAUCUUCAGCUUCAUGUAGGUGUAGUUGGGGAUGGCCAUGAAUUUGGCAUAACCCGGGCACCCGAUGAUGGCGUGGUAUGUACCUCGGAAUCCCACUACCUCAAAGGUGAGGGUCUCCUUUCUGAAGUUGGCCGCCGUGCCAAAGCAAACUGGUAGGUCGAUUCGACCUACCGGCAACGCCUUCUUCCCUGGUACGACGCCAUGGAAUCCACCAGCGCUCGGCUGGAGCUGCGCCCUGUUGAUGCCGAGAAGGUCGAGGGUCUCGAGGUAGAUGAUGUUCAGGCUGCUGCCACCAUCCAUCAGCACCUUCGAGAGUCUGGUGUUGACGAUGAUGGGGUCGACGACGAGCGGGUAGACGCCAGGGGCGACUACCUUAUCGGGGUGGUCGUCUCGGUCGAAGGUGAUGGGGGUGCUCGACCAGCUGAGGUACUGGGGCACCGCCAUCCUUGCCGCAAAGACUUCACGUCGUUCCCUCUUGCGCUGUCUUGCAGUCAGUUGUGUCGAGGGACCUUCGUAGAUCAUGUAGCAGUCGUGGACGACAGGGAAGCCGUCAUCGUCUUUGUCGUCCCCUUUGUCGCCGCUCUUCUCUUUCUUCGGGUCGUCGCGGGCGUCUUUCUUGAACCCUGGACUGUCGAAAUGCUUUUUUAGGAUACGGCAGUCCUUGAGCUUGUGGUUUGCCCACCCUUUGUGGUAAGGGCAUGGUUCCUUCAGCAUCUUGUCGAAGAUGCCCCCCUCUGGAGGGCCUCGAGGCCUUUUGCGUUCCAUGGCGGCGAUGAGAUCGUCGUCGAGAUCUUCCCGUUGGAACAGCCGUGUUUUCUUCUUCUUUUUGUUCUUCUUGGGUCCCCGACUAGGGCCCUCAUCAUCAUCGGCAGGCGGCUUGCCUUUCCUCCCUUCACAGCUGAAGAAGGUGCCGAUCGCUUCUUCCCCUGCCGCGUAGUUUGCAACUACGUCCAUCAGCUCGUCGACGUCUAGGGGCGAUUCUGGCCUAAUUCCCGUACCAAGUCUCGACUGGUGGUACCAGAGACAAAGGCCAGGAUGACGUCGUGGUCGGGGAUGUGUGGCAGCUCAGUGCGCUGCUUUGAGAAGCGUUGAGCAUACUCUCGUAGGGUUUCUCCCGACUUCUGCUUGCAUUUGCGGAGGUCCCAUGAGUUGCCAGGUCGUAUGUAGGUUCCUUUGAAGUUGCCCUCAAACACCCUGACCAAAUCGGCCCAAUCGUAAAUCUGGUUGGCCGGGAGGUCCUUGAGCCAUCUGCGGGCAGUGUCGGAGAGGAAGAGCGGCAGCUGUCUGAUGAUGGCUUGAUCAUCCCCUCGAGCGCCUCCUAGCUGACAUGCCAGCCUGAAAUCUGCCAGCCACAGCUCUGGCUUCGUCUCGCCGUUGUACUUUGCAAUGCUGGUCGGGGGUCGGAACGGGCUGGGCAGCGGCGUGCUGCGGAUUGCCCUGCUGAACACCCGCGGGCCUGGUGGUUCUGGGGCCAUCCGGUCCUCGUCGCUAUCGUACCUCCCACCGCGGUGGGCGCUGUAGCCGCGCUCUUCCGCGUCUCCAUACAGACAGCGACGAUUCUCGUCGAUGUCGCGUCACGCGUCGUGUUGUCGCUGGUUGUCGACGGGGAGGACGAGCGUGGUCUUUCUCCCUCGAGGUGGCGGCUGCUGAUGGACCGACACCUCCUUUUCAUUUUGGGCUGGCUCAUCACGUUUUUCCGUAGCUGCCCCUCGAUGUCGGGGGGCCGAGCUCUCUGCUUGCUGAACUGCCGCCACCUGGAGCAGAGUCUGCACCUCAUCUCGGAUGCGCCGUGCUUGGGAGUUUGAGGGCUCGGGCAUGUUACGCAACAACAUUUUUGCUGCCACAACAUUCUUGCCCGCUCGAGGAAAGCGUCUGACAGGCUACUUUGGCUCCCCGUCCCCGACAAUCUGCCUAUGUACCUCUUGAGCCCGUCUGCGGACGCUUCCGCCAGGCGGGUAAGGCAGGUCCUGUUUAAGGAUUUGCUCGAGCAGGACGAGGCGCUCACGAUCUUCAUCAAGUUUCGUCUUGAGCUCUCGUAGCUGUGCAAGUUGCUCGGCUCUGUCUUCCUGUUGAAGUGGGUCGACCUGUCCGUCGUUCCCAGGUGUCCUAGGGUCUUCCCUUGCCGCAGGGGCUCGACCGCCCACAACAGCGUCCUGUGUCUCGUCGGUGGUCUCCACCGCCCCGUCGACAUGGAAGCACUCCCUAGUAGGGUCGUAGCUAUCGGAUUCCGAGCCAGAGUCCGGCUCGGCAGCGUAGAAGCAUCCGCGUCCUUCCUCCAGCAGCCGCUGCCUGAGGGAGAUAAACGUGUACCGCCCAGGGCCUAGGCGGCGGAGGCCUUGUACCUGUGAGAAGUCUGGUAGCUCGGACGUCUGUGGCCGUGCUCCAUUCUCGCGUGGGAGGACCAUUGGUGUUUCCACGUACAUCUGGGCAUUUGGACAUAUUGUCCUAGCGAGCGAUGCCGCGGCAUUGUCCAAGCCGAACGGCAAUGCUCUUCUCGGGGCGAACAGCCCGUGUGGAAGUAGCCUGGCGGUGGGGGAGAGCGCGCGGGGCGCGUCACCUCCUGUCGUCGCGUGAUCCUCGCGGCGCUGAGCCGUCAUGCCCACGGUUCCGGCACGCGGUGCUGUCGACUCCUGUGUCCCCUCCUGCCUGGCACGAAUUGUCGGUCAUGACGAGGCAGAAAGGUGACGGUGGUGGUGUCCACGCCUCUUUUUGGGCGGGGAGGCGUGAUGGUGAGGACGUCUCAGGGCCUUCGACCGUGCUAGCACAAUGCGGGCUCCUCCCGGUCCUUUUACCGAGAGCAAGAUCAUGUGAUAGCCAGAGCCAGUAGACAUGAACUCGAGACUCCCAAACCAAAUUACCGUGGAGCACGGAAUCGGCAAAGUGAGAGUGGCCAUUUGGAAAAAAAAAUGGGAAAUCGGUGAAAAACACGCAGGACCCCUACCUGGCGCGCCAACUGUCAGUGCUUUCCCCCCGGGCGGUCACACCAACUAGUAAAUUUGUAUGCGUGCUCCCUUUUCUAGAUGGUGAUGCAAAAAGACACAAAGAUUUAUCCUGGUUCGGGCAAGAGAAGGCCCUACGUCCAGCGGGGGGGGGAGAGUUUGUACUAUUCUGCACCUAAGUGCUUGUACAGGGGUGAAUACAAGCGUGUAUGAAGUAAGAUGGAGUGAGCUUGCACUACUGCGUUUGGCUUGGGUGUUGUGUUGUAUCGCGUCCCCCUGUAUCCGCUCCUGGGUCUCCCCUUUUACAGUUCCAAGGAGAGACAUAGGGUACAUGUAGAGGCAUCAAAGUAGGGGUCGAUAGAGGUAUGGUGCGCUGACCUACUCGAGGCCUCCGUACCGGCGUGGUCUCGAGCCGUCCCGUCCUGGUAGCUUGAUGAUGAUUACGCGUGCCCCUGCAUCCUGCUCUGCGCGCCGUCUUGGGCUGGUUUAUCUGUCGCACGCCUAUACGUCAUGGCGGCAGAUAUGUCAGAGUGGUUGUGGUGUUGUCAUUCGACGCCCAACCCUUCUCCAGGAAGGAAGCGUGUCUGGUCGAGGGUCGGACGCUGUGUAACACCCUGCUAGCCGGAGCGCUGACCUUGGAUGUCUCGAGGGGGUCUUGAUUAGACGUUCCGACCAUGCAUCCUGCGUCCUGACACGCUCUGGGUUAUUUGGUGGGGAAGGCUGCAAAAAGAAUGAUGGGAUGGGUGCCUGUUCCCUAUCACGCUUCCCAUGACUGGCCUGUUAGGUGGGAACACGACAGGCGCAUUAAAUGCCCUGACUCCCGUGCCCGCGCCAGGCGGCGGGCGGCGUCCUUGCGCUCGACGUCUUCUGAUUCGCUCGAGCCUGUUUCCGUAUUCGUCGGUAGCCGGCACUUGAGCCCAGAUCAAUUCGCUCGACGCCCUUUCCGCCUUCGAGGCUGCGGUCGUCGAUGACCGUACGCGUGACUAGGUAGAGCGUCGAGUUGGAGGCCUCGACUUGCAUACAGUCAAUCUCAUCAUGCAUAUCAGUUAGGAUACCCCUUACUGAUAUCCUUGACAAAACUAGAGUAGAUCUAGAUAGAAGCAAGAUGGAGAGCGAAGGAGUAUUAGAGGAGAGGCCAGACUAUCGGUUCUUCCUCCGGUUGUACUUCGUCAUGAUCAAGAUCUAAUCAAGCUUGCUCAUGGGAUGACUCUGGUAAUCUACUUCUAAUUCAUUAUGCAAUUAGUAAUCAUGUACGUUUUGGUUCACAACUCUUUUGAGUACUUCUAAUCUAUAGGACCCUAUAGGUUAGAGUUGUAGUAUAGGUGUAAGCGUGGUGCUUAGACCUAUAUUACUUGUGGAGAUCCCCUGUCUAGCUGGAUCGUGUGGUAGGCCACGUAGGUGACAGUUACGUUGGUCCUCUGUAGUCCACCUCUCGUUAGCAGGACGGGUAGGGUUUAUCGGCCUAAGGAUAAGCAUCCUUUGUGGUAUACUCUUAUCACGUGGUUCGUCCCAGACAUAGACAUACCCCUUUGAAGUAGAGAAACCAUAGUUAUCCUCUCUAUUCUGCUACCAUUGCCCAUAUACUAGAAUUGCUCUACUCUCUAUUCCCAUAUUAUCACUCACUGUUAUCUUACCUUUAAUAUUGUUCUUAUUUGAUUCUACCAUCUUUCCUAUUUACACCUAUUUACUUAUCUUGGUAAAGUUAGAGCGUAGAUCAGUUCUCCCGUUUCCCAGUGGAUACGAUAAAACCUUUAACCGGGAAAAAGCUUCAACGGUAUCCGUGCGCUUGCGGAUUAUCUGUGUGUGUAUAAAUACCACAGUACACUCUAGUGCCAUGCUGGGGAUGACAACCUAGAAUUCAAGUGGUGUUAGCAAGUGUCAACAGCGCCCGCCCCCCUUCUGAGUCCAAUCAGGAUCUCUUUCGGGAUCAAUCUCCACCGACCUAAAGGAUCAAGGAUAACCAUUCAAUCAAUGUCGGUUUGAUCCAAUGGCCCAUAUUCACUUAGAGGGACUAUAAAACUAGACCCCCUGGCCCCUGGAGGAGAGAGAGCCUCUCAACCCUAAUUCAUUAUUCCUCAAGGGAGAAGAAGCCUCUGAUCAAGCCUAGAGCCACCACAUCAAUUAGACAUCUAGAUUACCAUAGCUAUAUAGGAUUAGAACUAGAAGGAGUCAAUCUUCGAUUGGUUUCCGGAUCUGUCAGGAGGAUUCUUGGUAAUUCUCUAAUUGUUCUUCUAAUUGUUCAUCUUUGUUGUUCAAUAUUAUGAAUAUGACUUUGUUCUACUUCAAUAUAUUGCUUAUGACUUUGCUCUACUUGUUUAUAUUUAAGAUUAUAUUGUUCUUAGUUUAUCAUAGUUAUGUACUUGGCUUAGUUAGAUUGGAUUUAUAUACAUGUUUAGGAUCGUAUAGCGUUUAUCCAUUGGAUCCAUGGGUAAAUGAUAGAUAUUGUGUAGGCGUGGUGCUUAUACCAUAUUUAUUUGCGAUUGUACCCAAUAUGCCAGAUCGUGGGGUAGUUCGUGAUAGUGACAGCUUCAUUGAUUCUUAUAUAGUCCCGCUCUCAUGUAUUGGGCUGGCAGAGCAACAUUAUUACAGGGGAGUGAUUGCUAUGUUUCUUAUUUACCUUGACAAUAUCACUAUGCAUGGGCGUAGUCUUGUCUUGCAAUAAUUGCUAAGUAUAAUUGCACUAACUAUGAUAUGCUAGACUAUAUAGUUGAGAAUAACUUAGGAAAUAUUCUUGUAGUUCGUUCUAAUACCAUGCUAAUGACUUUCUUGAAUAUCUAGUUGAGGUGCUUAUCAUAUUUAUUAUGUGGCUAAGUUAUGCUGAUCAGAUUAAUUAUCUUUAUCACUAUUCAUUACAUUAUAUCCUUUAUGUGACACUUUUCCCUUUAUGAAAGAGUUAGUUAAAUGUUGUCAAUUAUACAUGCAAUGAUAGAUACUCAAUCUCAUAUUCCAUUCUAUAAUCAACAUUGAUGGUUACUAAUCCCUUCCCAGUGGUAAAAAUAUAAAUAACGAUACCUGGAAUACUUCCCGGUUAAAAUGCUACAUCGGUAUUAAUCUGUGCGCUUGCAGAUCCCAUUCAUUAUUUAUUUAGAUGAGCAAUUGCAUAUUUCAAUACCGCGUCUCUCAUGUCAUGCUGGGGAUGACAACUUGGCUUAAGUGGUAUGAGAGAUAGGUUUGACAUUUUUGGCACCGUUAUCAGAAUUAGAAAACUGUCUACUUUUGGUAAUGAUCCCAACAAGCAUUUUUGGCGCCGUUGCCGGGGAAGGUUGAUUACUAAUCAGGAAUGAAUAUAGGAUUUUGAGUUAUCAUUCGCAUCACUAAUAUGUUUGAGCUUAUCAAUUCUCUCAUACAGUUUUACCCCGAUAUUUUCUAUCUUAUCUUAUGCAGGGGAAUGUAUGAAUAGAAGACAUCUUCCAGGAAAUUUUGUUGACAAUCCUGAAGCAUUAUUCAGAAAAACAAGAGCCAAGCUCAAGAAGAGAUCAUCAACACUUCAGCAAGAAGCUUCAUCCAAUCAAGAAGAUCACCGGAACUUGUCUUCAGAGUUCGAGGCCAUGGCGAACAAAUCGAUCCGUGAGUUCUCAGCUCCGACUACGGACAACAUCCGCACUGGACCUGCUGCAGAGAUCGACUGCAGCUUUGAGCUCAAGCCUAGACUUAUCAACAUCGUGCAAUCCAACCAGUUCUUUGGGAAGGCACAUGAAGAUGCUAGUGCUCAUCUCCAACACUUUCUGGAGAUUUGCAGCACAUUUACCAUAUCAGGAGUCCCCGAAGAUGCUAUACUACUUCGCCUCUUUCCAUUCUCACUGUUGGGAAGAGCGAAGCAGUGGUUCUACGCUACAAAGGAGAAGAAUACUACGUGGGCACUUUGCUCCAUGAACUUUCUGGCUAAGUUCUUUCCCAUGGGCAAGACCAAUGCUCUCCGUGGGAAGAUUACAAUUUUUCAGCAACAACAUGAUGAAUCCGUUCCAGAAGCAUGGGAGCGUUUCCAAGAUUACAUCUUAGAAUGUCCCCAUCAUGGAAUGGAGAGUUGGCUACUGAUGCAGACGUUUUAUCAUGGGCUCGGCAACAAUGCCCGAGAAACCAUGGAUGCUGCAGCUGGAGGAGCAUUCUUAUCACUUACCAUAUCACAAGCCACAGCUCUUGUGGAGAAGAUGGCGUCCAACCAAAGCUGGAAUGAAGAAAGGACCCAAAAAGGUGGAGGUAUGCAUCAGCUCAAGGAGGUAGACAUGCUAUCUGCAAAGCUAGACCUGCUCAUGAAGAAGCUCGAAGAUAGAGCUGGAGAUAAGAAAGAAGUUAUGCACAUCUACGACUCCCACAUGACUUGUGAGGAGUGUGGAGAUACUGGACACUCAGGCAAUCACUGCCCUAAGAUGCUUGAGGAUGUGAACUACAUCAACAAUAACAACAACUACUACAAUCGUCCUCAACAAAAUCAAGGUUGGAAUCAAUAGAGGCCAAACUACUCAGGUAAUUAUCAAGGUAACAAUUCUUACAACAAUAAUAAUAAUUUUCCACCUCUGAGAGAGUUAGUGUCUAAUCAAGAAAGCUAAUGGAUAAUCUAUCUAAGAAAUUGGCAUCUAAUGAUAAAAUGCUAGAAAAUAUAAAUAAUAGAAUGGAUAAUUUCUCUACUGCCAUCAAGAAUCAAAUUAGCUUUAAUAAAAUGAUUGAAUCCCAAUUAAAUAAAAUAGUCGUUGUUGUUCCUGCUACUAACCCCGGUAUACCAUCACAACUGGAAGGAUUAGAAUCUGCAAAUCUUGUAGACAUGUUUGAUGCAGGUAAUUGGAGUAACCCCGUCACUGAAGUUACUACUGACCUUCUGCCGGUCAAGAGAGGCGAUCCAGGAUGCCCCGUCAUCCCGAUCUCCAUCGGCAUGGUGGAUGUCCUAGAAGCACUCUGUGACUUUGGCUCUUGUGUCAACAUAAUACCCAGGGUACUCUAUGAAAAAUUCUGGACAUAUCCUUUAUUAGAGACAACCAUGAUUUUGCAAUUUGCAGAUAAGAUGAUAAGUUUUCCAAAAGGAAUAUUGAAGAACCUCUACGUCCGAGUUGGUACCUUGUAUGCCCCAGCAGACUUCGUGGUGAUAGAGACCGGUAAUGAUGAGAGGGCACCUAUCAUCUUAGGGAGACCAUUCUUGAACACCUCGGGAGCUGUCAUCUACACCUAUCAUCUUAGGGAGACCAUUCUUGAACACCUCGGGAGCUGUCAUCUACACCAGUACUGCCAAGAUCAGUUUCUACAUCAAAGGGAGAAAGGAGAAGUUUUCUUGCAAGAACAAGACUACACAAAUCCCAGAUCAAUCUAGACGUGAAUCAAGGAAGAGGACCAACAGGAGGAACAGGAACAAGCAAGUGUGGACCGAGUCAGCUAAGAUGGUCACUGCAGUUCAAGGAGUUCAAGAUCAUCGACUUAAGUCACUAUUUUUGACCAAGAAGGAUGACCCAGGAAUGCCAAGCAUCUAUUGCUCCAUCAAUGGGUACAACUUCUACAAAAUGACCUGCGACACAGGAUCAUGCGUCAACAUAAUGGCCGCAGUCACCUAUCGGCUCUUGUUCGGAACCAUGCCCCUAAGACCAACCUACAUUCAACUCCAGAUGGCAAAUCAGACAUUUUGAGAAGUUAAAGGAACAGUAACUGAUGUCCCUGUCAAAAUAGACGAUCAUUUUGUCUACACAGACUUUCAGGUUAUUGACAUGGGGUAAGACGAGUAUGAUCCACCCAUCAUCCUUGGAAGACCGUUCCUCAGCACCGUCAAAGCAAUCAUCUACAUUGGAACUGGAGAAGUCCAUAUGCACUUCCCCUCAGAGAAGGUACGCCGCUAUUUUACUGACCCUAACUAUAUCGUUGAAGACUCUAAGCAGGUCAGAAAACGACGCAACCGCAACCAGAGGAGGCAGAUCAUCAAGGACGGAUGGGCAGACUAUGAAGGAGAAGUAGUAAGGUCAGGAGACAUACAGCUUAAACAGAAUUAUCCAGAGGAGACUGUAGCACUGAGUCAGGUAUGGAGAGAGAAGAUAACUUUACAUGAAGAAGAGGCGCCGCCGGAAGUACUGACUCCGCCACCCAACGAAUCCCAGGACAACUGAGAAAACGGAGAGUCCCGUUAGGAGGACUUAAAAACACCGAACGCCCUGCCAAGAGGUAAACUUGGUACUUAUCUUUUCCCAUUCAAUUAUUUAAAAUAGUUUGCUUAGUUAAUUAUGUUCAUACUAUCCUAAAAAGAAAAUAAAAAUGUUAAAAAAAUAGUAAGUCCUAUGUGAGUAUACGAGUGGCAUAAACCCCAUAAGUACAUUCACUGUGGUGGCAUAAAAAUAAAAUAAAUAUUUUUUCUGCUUUAUAAAAUAAAAAUAUAAAAAUAGGGAGUAAUAUUUAUUAAGGAGUCUCAACAUGAUAAAGGCUAGAUAUUUAUGCUAACACUUAAUCAGUUCCACAAAGCUUUGUUGUCUAUUUGAGCUCCAUAGAAUUCAAGAAUCAAGAAGACUAGCAGACGGAGGGCAUUCUAAUCGCUGUCAGGGUACUGCCGACUUUCAAAUACACCUCUGCCACCUACUAGCUACAUCAAAAGAAAUUACGUCAAAAUUCAGCUUGGGGGAGAGCACCCCCAUUUAUCCUGCUAAGUAUUUCGAUCUAUCUUUAUACUUAUACUAUAUUGAAAUAUAAAUAUACAUAACUAUGAAAAACCAAAUAAAGAUUUUAUGCUUAUAUAUAUAUCUUUUGCUUAGUUUAAAAAAUAAAUAAAGUAGCUAUGCUAAACUGAAUCCUAAAUGAUAAAACUCUAGCAUGGAUAUGAAGAAUAGUUGCUCUGCCUAAUUUUUCAAAUUUGAGUUUUCUCUCAAGUUUAGACAUAACUAUUAUAAUUUAAAGCUUGCUCUAAACCUAAACUUGUGGGAAGAAAACUUGAUCUGAAGUCUAGGUUGUUAACGGAUAUGAUAUGGGAAGGUUGAGCUGCUGUUUAUCUGUUCCUAGAGAUGCUAGAAUUCUGGAGAAUUUUAUCCUUUAAAAUCUUUAAAAUAUUGCAUGAUGAGUUUCUAUAUGAUCAGAGUUUAAAUUCCUACCACAGCUAUAUAUACAUGCUACUAGACAUUGAGCCACACAAUUACUUUACUACUUAUGAGCAUUGAGUGUGGUCAAGCUGUGUAGACCCUUAGGAGCUUGUCACGUGUUUAAAUCAAGAUUCACUUGCACGUUCACUCACAUAUGCUACUUCUACUCCGGAAGUACCAUCCACAUAUAUCCACCCAUUUCCAUCUCCAAAACCACUCAAAAACAUUCUACUCCUACUCCGGGAGAGAAUGGCUAAAAGCAUUUCUGUUUUUCCCUGUGAAAUAAAUGCUCAAGUUAUCUUGUUACUACCACUUGCUAUAUUAUCUCAAGAGAUGAGUGCUCUAAAAAAAGAUACGAGGAAAUAAAAAGGGGAAAGUUCCCGGAACCUCGAAAGAAAAGAAAAAGUGAGACGAGAGGUAAAAAUGGACAAGUGUCCGACAGUAGAAUUAGGUGUACAAGAUACCCACCUGAGAAAAAAUAAUAAUAAUACAGAGCAUCUCAUUCAUCUCAAGUUUCAAAAGAGCAAGAAUGUUAUGUAUCCCCUCAAAAGAGCACAAGUAGAAUUAGACUUUCAGCAUUGUUAUUAUCACCAUACAUCAUUCAUUCGCCACACAUGCACAUCUUGAUUUGACUUAUUGAUUUGUUUCUUUGGAUCCAUGGUUUGACUAUGCAAUAAAUGUCUUGUAAGUAUGUAUAUUUUAUCUCUCACCUAUGAGCCUUAGAUAUCAAAAGCCUUAUUACAGUAGGGUGAGAGAGAAGGCAUAUACCAUCACUGCCUUGGUAAGGAUCCAGAAAUACCACAAAAGAGAGAUCUGAGAGAGUCACACAAGGAAUCUCUGAGUUUUAUUUGAAAAUCGGCAAAAAACUCCAGAGCUAUAGCUGAUCAAGAAUAAGAGACAUGGCACUUGACUAGACUGUUCUAUCUUUUAACUACUCAAGACAGAAGUGACGGUUACAAGUCCCAUGGUGAAAGGUAAAGUAAGUUUUAAGUCUUGAGAGUUUACUCUAACUCAGAGAUGAGACAUCAUUUGAAAGCAUGUGUACCGUCAAUUUUUAAAAGUAUUGCAACAACUUCUGAUCCAUCACUGAGUCUAUACUUGCUCAGGGAUGAGCAAGAGGUAAGCUUGGGGGAGUUUGUUGACGGUCC